UGCGAUGGCCCAUUCAUCCAGCCUGUAUUAAAUACUUGCCAAUAGAUUUUCCUUGUGCUCAACCAAAAGGAAAAAGUGUCCCUUGUGUUAUAAGCAUCGAAGGGAUUACAAAUCAUGACGAUUGAUCCAAUGAAACUACUCCAUCACUAUUCAGUGCUUGAAAUUCUCUCAGGAUUGUCAGUUUGGUGGGAGGUUGUUGAUGAGCUAUUUUAUUAAAUGCUACUUGGGAUCUAUGCUUCUGUUUUUCUAUAUGCCAAGAGACGGUGCAGCUUUGGAAGCAGGCCACCAUACUCCAAAGGUGCCCACACCAGUUGUCCUCUGGAAAAAGACGAGCACGUUCAGCACCUGUAGUGAAUUGGAUAAGACAAUUAAAAUGGUUAUAAAUAAAUAAUUUAACCAGGCGUUUGAUAUUGUAUUCUUAUUCUUCCUCCACAUACAAUUAACUGAACUUCAAUUAUUACGAACUAGUAUCUGCAUAAUUAGGCUAAGGUAAUAGAACUUUUAGAGAAAUGGGAAAUGUCGAGCCUUUUGCAGGCUCUCACAACCCUACCCUACUUACUGCACAUGCUACUUUACUUGGCUCGAGAGUUGUUAGCUGUGGUGUCAUUUUUGGCAUAAAUUAAUGGCCAAAACAAUUUGAUUUGCAUUUAUUCGGGUUGUGUCCAAAUAUGUGGAUAUGAUUUUAUGUUCAGACACUCUGCCAAUUUGGUACAAAUAUUACCAUAUUCCAUGCAUAGACCAAAUGUUAUUAGCUAA